rnacentral:rRNA from 1 species
AUUGAACGCUGGCGGCAGGCCUAACACAUGCAAGUCGAACGAGUGGCGGACGGGUGAGUAAUGUCUGGGAAACUGCCUGAUGGAGGGGGAUAACUACUGGAAACGGUAGCUAAUACCGCCUACCAUCGGAUGUGCCCAGAUGGGAUUAGCUAGUAGGUGGGGUAAAGGCUCACCUAGGCGACGCUCCCUAGCUGGUCUGAGAGGAUGACCAGCAACACUGGAACUGAGACACGGUCCAGACGCCUACGUGAGGCAGCAGUGGGGAAUAUUGCACAGUGGGCACAAGCCUGAUGCAGCCAUGCCGCGUGGAUGCAGAAGGCCUGGGGGUUGUAAAGUACUUUCAGCGGGGAGGCGUUACCCGCAGAAGAAGCACCGGCUAACUCCGUGCCAGCAGCCGCGGUAAUUC